rnacentral:lncRNA from 1 species
GGGUCUGCAGAUGGCGUCCAGGUACACAGUGGCGAGUGUGAUUCCGCAGUCUUGGGCUGUUUGGCCAAGCGCCCGCCGGACAUGGUACGCCGAAGGGUCAUCGGCGUGGAGUCCUCGCUUUCAGCGUCCGCGGCUGGGAAAUCGGCCAUCGCUACGGCGGGAACUGGGACUCGGGCUGCGUCCCGGCCCUUCCACAUCGGUCCACCGCACUCGUGGGCGCCCGCAUUGGUGCUGACAUAAUUUCCUGACCUCUGACCCGUAUUGUCUCGCGAUUAAAGAGCUGCGCCUGGAUCCCUCAGCAGUGAGGAGACCUGAAGACCAGAGGAAACACAGCAAGGGCUCACCAGAGAAGACAGGGCAAGGUGAGGGGGAUCUCCUAGCAGAGGAAACAACAUGCGCCAAUCAAGCAAAGAUAUUUUUGUGCAUUCAAGGAACACAGAGAGGAAAGACAGUGGCAGAUGGAGACGUAUAAAGCAGGGAUCCUGUUAUGAAAAGCCCUAAAAAAUAGGGUAUAGAGUUUGGGCCAUAUUUCAGAGGUAAUAAGAAAGCAUUCUGCAUUUUUAAAGUAAGGUUUAAAAAUGUUUCUAAUUAGAGAUACAGCAAAGUUGGUGUGAGAGGAUAAAGACUGAUAUACAUAAUCUGAGGAGUUCAUGAAAAUUCCAUGUAAAGCCUGUAGUAUGAAUUGGUCCUAGGAGACAGACAGCUUCAGGGGCAUAGAGAACUUUAAGCACUUUUCCAAGAAGAGUGAAGGGCUGGAGAAUAAAUUGUGAACUAAAAUAUAUUUUGUGUUUGAGAACAUGAAGUACUUGAGAGUGAUUAUUACACGGUUUUAAGAAAAAACUAGUUCUUUUAAAUAAAACUUUUUUUUAGCUGAGCACAGU